AGAAGGCUUCCGCAGACAAAUAACAUGGCGGCGCCCGAGAGCGGCGAGCAAGCGAGCCAAUUGGAAUUGUAUCCUUGGAUUGCAGUGAUGUUGAAGCGUCGAGAGUUCUCUUUGCAGUUUCAGCCAAACUAGCAAUAAGGUUAUCGCGUCUCCGACGUCUCUGGGCCUGAUUCUCCGCGAGCGAGCUUGGCUUCUUUCCUGAGCGCUGACGUCGAGUCACUCGCACACGUUUCCUUGACCCUCCCCUUUUCUAGCUCGCUGCAAGUUCCCUUCCAGUCGGCGCGCCAGGCUGCUGUGGCUCUGCGCUCGCUGAGUCCCGACCGCGAGCCCCGGCGAGGAGGCGUCCGCAAGCGGCUGACGCUCGCCGGGAGUGUGCUCAGCGCGAAGUGGCGUGCAGAGCAAGCUCGCGUCCUUCGCGUAUCCGUCAACUCCUUCCUGGAGCACCUCGACCUGGUCUUGGAGACCAUGCGUGCCUUUCCCGCCGACGUCGGACAGGAUCCUCACAGCGUUCUUGGUCGUCCACCUUCGAUGGACACGCGAGGGCCCGCCUUCAUGGAAAACUUCAGCGAGCCGAUGCUGCGUUCUUGAUUUAAAGUUUUUAGCGUUAAGCAUGUUUAUCCUUUUUUUUCCUAAGUUGAUUUCAUCGCGCGCUUGAUUACUGGCGUCAGCUAUUGCCCAAAAUGUCGCCACGAGCUGCUGUAGACGCAAGGCAGCCAAGCCAGCGCUCCGUUGGUUUUGCUCUGACCAUUGUGCUCGUCUGCGUUGGGGCAGGGUAUUUUUGGUUCUUAUUUAAAUGUUUUUCCCCUGAUCUCACGUGUGCUUCAUGUGUAAAUGUACGUAUCAUUUUGCUUUGAAUAAAAACAGAAGUCGCCUGCC